AGUGAACGCUGGCGGUAGGCCUAACACAUGCAAGUCGAACGGCAGCACAGGAGAGCUUGCUCUCUGGGUGGCGAGUGGCGGACGGGUGAGGAAUACAUCGGAAUCUACUCUGUCGUGGGGGAUAACGUAGGGAAACUUACGCUAAUACCGCAUACGACCUACGGGUGAAAGCAGGGGACCUUCGGGCCUUGCGCGAUUGAAUGAGCCGAUGUCGGAUUAGCUAGUUGGCGGGGUAAAGGCCCACCAAGGCGACGAGCCGUAGCUGGUCUGAGAGGAUGAUCUGCCACACUGGAACUGAGACACGGUCCAGAGUCCUACGGGAGGCAGCAGUGGGGAAUAUUGGACAAUGGGCGCAAGCCUGAUCCAGCCAUACCGCGUGGAUGAAGAAGGCCUUCGGGUUGUAAAGCCCUUUUGUUGGGAAAGAAAUCCAGCUGGCUAAUACCCGGUUGGGAUGACGGUACCCAAAGAAUAAGCACCGGCUAACUUCGUGCCAGCAGCCGCGGUAA
rnacentral:rRNA from 1 species